rnacentral:rRNA from 1 species
UACGUAGGGUGCAAGCGUUGUCCGGAAUUAUUGGGCGUAAAGAGCUCGUAGGCGGUUUGUCGCGUCUGCUGUGAAAUCUUGGGGCUUAACCCUGAGCUUGCAGUGGGUACGGGCAGACUAGAGUGCGGUAGGGGAGACUGGAAUUCCUGGUGUAGCGGUGAAAUGCGCAGAUAUCAGGAGGAACACCGGUGGCGAAGGUGGGUCUCUGGGCCGUAACUGACGCUGAGGAGCGAAAGCAUGGGGAGCGAACAGG